ACUGUCCCCUUCUUCCACCCCGGGCACUGUGUCUAAGAGGACCGCCCACCCUCUUCCAAAUGUUGUUCGUAAACUCUUUUCCUGUUACCCACCAGGCUCCCCCAUUUUCUUGAUGCCUCCUCCCACUGCCGCCCCCCUCCCCCUGACAUAUCUACCACAGCAUAACUUCCUUCCCUUGCAACCAGCCACGUCAACAGCAGUCACUCUCGGCGUCUCGUUCUCUCACGGUCAGUGCACCUAGGUGCCGGGCAUAGGAAGGCGGCACCCCGUACACUGGAGAGAAAUUUAAUGAGCACCUAAUGCGGCGAGACUGCCUGCUGGGAGGGGCCUGAGGAAGGUGCUCCUCCCCAUGCCUGGAGGGGCAGUCUAAAGGGUGCGUUACCAGUCUGUUUCCAGUGGGGAGACAGAACAGAAAGCCACCAACUCCUGCUGGCUGGGACAUCUUAGUCAGUGAGUCUGCAGUUCCCGAUGCCACUGGUCCUCCUCCAUCUGCUUUGGCACGAGCUCCCUGCCUCUCUUCUCUGGCUGCUCAGCCUGCCCUCAGCCACGACACCAUGGUGCCCAGCCCCAGAAUAAACCCGUUUUCCCCUCCUUUAUAUCCCCGCCCUCUCCGCCCCCGCAAGGCCUGCCUGCCCUCACCAUCUUGCCCAUGCCCUGUCCUGUCUGUACUCUACACCUCUUCCUUGACCCUUACGGCUUUCUGCUGCAUUCCGAGAGCAAGCUGAACCCAGUCCGUGACUUCAAAGCCCACACCGAGAGUGCCUCGGCUUCCCUGUUUCCGCCACAGCCUGCCCUCCCUUGACGCCUGUCAGAGGAACCGUGGCAGCAUAAGGAUCACGUGGCUGGUGCAGGAGCCCCGCCACAGCACCCCUGGUUCUCUUCUGCCCUCUGCAGCCAUACUACGAAAGUCUAGUUCAUCUUCCACAGCUUGUAGACUAAGCAUGUGAACGUCGAAACCAGACGAUGAAGAUUCAGAUUCUCACUCUGCCAUUUACUAGCUCUGUGGCCUCAGAUGAAUGUCUGGGACUCUAUUUCUUCAUCCAUAAAAUGGAAGUGAUAACAGCACCUACCUCACAGAAUUAUAUCAAGAUUAAAUGAGGUAGCAGAUGUAAAGUUCUUAGAAUAACACCUGAUAUAAAAUAAAUACUCUAAAUUGUAUUAUCUGCAGAAAGCUGUUUUGUUUCCUCCUCUACUCCUUUCUUUGAGUUACU